GACAGAGGGUGCGAACGUUGUUCGGAAUUACUGGGCGUAAAGCGCGUGUAGGCGGCUAAGUGGGUCGGGUGUGAAAGCCCUGGGCUUAACCUAGGAAGUGCAUUCGAAACUGUUUAGCUCGAGUUCCGGAGAGGAUGGUGGAAUUCUCGGUGUAGAGGUGAAAUUCGUAGAUAUCGAGAGGAACACCGGUGGCGGAGGCGGCCAUCUGGACGGAAACUGACGCUGAGACGCGAAAGCGUGGGUAGCAAACAGG
rnacentral:rRNA from 1 species